GAGUCCAAGGAUAUUGGUAGAGCAUGAGACUCUCAAUCUCAGGUUCGUGGGUUCGAGCCCCUGGUUGGGCA